rnacentral:sRNA from 1 species
GCUGGGUGUGGUGGUGUGCACCUGUAAUCCCAGCUACUCAGGAGGCUGAGGCAGGAGAAUUGCUUGAACCAGGGAGACAAGGGUUGCAGUGAGCCAAGAUUGUGCCACUGCACUCCAGCUUGGAGAUAGAGUAAGACUCUGUCUCUAAAUAAAUAAAUAAAUAAAGUUUAUGUAGAAAUGAAAAUUCUUUUUUUUUUUUUUUUGAGACGGAGUCUCGCUGUGCUCCCAGGCUGGAGUGCAGUGGCGUGAUCUCGGCUCACUGCAAGCUCCACCUCCCGGGUUCACGCCAUUCUCCCGCCUCAG